UCGUGCUAAGCGGGGCGCUAGCGGUGCCUUGUACUCGCAAUCCGCUAUAGCGGGGCUGAAAUCCCACUCUGAGGGCGCGACGGCUGCUGGGACUGUUUGGUCAAACAGCGUGGAGGGUUGGGUCCCGUGCGGCGCGGAGCUGUGAACCUGGUCAGGACCGGAAGGUAGCAGCCAUAAGCGGUAACCCGCGGGUGCCACGGGGUUGCCUGGCCUGAGUUGUCUGACAGGACAAGCCAGUUGCCGCAGUUCGAAGAGGGGUGCACGA
rnacentral:SRP_RNA from 1 species